ACAAAUAGCAGUAAAUUAAAAUGCCCUUGUUUUCAAAAAUGCAGAAUUUCUUCAUCAGACGAGCUCCAUGAAGAUGACUUAUUUUCCACUAAGAGGGGGCAAAAUGUAUUUAAACCAGGACAUGCACAUCCUUCUUGCUAUGUGUGUAGCCCUUUGCUACAGUGAAGGGAAAACUCUCCCAAAUCCACUUUUGGCAGCAUCCAACAUUCUCCUUAGGAGUGGAGAAGAUAGCACACAUCAGAGCAGCCAAUUAUUUUUUCCUAAACCUCAGCAAGAGUCUUGUUGGGUGCCGAUACAGCACGCUCAGUGAUGGCUGUUUCUUGGGCAGUCCUGUAUUAGAGCUGUUUGAGAAUUUAGCGCACGCUAGCUACGUACAUGGGAUUAUCAACUCAGUUUUGUAACAUCAGCCACAAAAGCACCAAGGAGCGUUACUGAGGAUUUCAAGGUAUGUCUUCAAAAGCUGUAUUAAUUUUUCACUAGGUUUUUGUAUCCCUA
rnacentral:lncRNA from 1 species